AGAUAGCUAAUACCGGAUAACAACAGAUGAUGCCUAUCAACUGUUUAAAGAUGGUUCUGCUAUCACUCUUGGAUGGACCUGCGGUGCAUUAGCUAGUUGGUAGGGGUAACGGGCCUACCAAGGCGAUGAUGCAUAGCCCGAGUUGAGAGACUGAUCGGGCCACAUUGGGACUGAGACACGGGCCCAAACUCCUACGGGAGGCAGCAGUAGGGGAAUCUUCCACAAUGGACGAAAGUCUGAUGGAGCAAACGCCGCGUGAGUGAAGAAGGUUUUCGGAUCGUAAAAAGCUCUGUUGUUGGUGAAGAAGGAUAGAGGUAGUAACUGGCCCUUUAUUUGACGGUAAUCAACCCAGAAAGUCACGGGCUAACUACGUGCCCAGCAGCCGCGGUAAAU
rnacentral:rRNA from 1 species